GACCUGCGGCUUCUGUGAUGACAACAGUCACAUGGUGGCUCUCUGAGAGGCGGCCUAUCUCUGGAGGUGAAGCUACUUCACUGCACUACACCAUCAUAUCAGCAGCAGGCCCUGUUUGGUGUGAUCCUUAGUGGGGCUGGAGUGUGAACGCGUCUUCUUUUGGAGGUCAGAGCUGCUUGUUUUCUUCCAUCAUGAGACACAAAAGGAAGAUGUUGAAGUUAUUCCUCCUGUGAGUUCAUGUUGCAGCGUUUUAUAUCUGUUUGGUUAGCUAAAGUGGAUAUUGAACAUGCGCAGUAAUAACUCCCAAUUUCCACCGCAUCCGGAACGUCUACGAAAAGGCCGUAUCCGUCGAUCGUAGCUGAUCGUAACCAUUCAAGUUAACGUGUCAAUUUCCACUGACUUCUUUCCGUUCCACAGCUGAUCGCAAGAGUUCAAUUUUUUUCAGACGCCGGAGCAUGGCGGAUAAAUUCAACACAGAUUAACCCGUGCUGGAAAGGAAGUCGGGCACAGACACAAAAUAAAACAUCUGGCUUCUUUUCAAAAUAAAACACUCAUGCAAAUGGGCGGAGAUGAACAAGUAAAAGUUUUUUAGACGUCAUUUCACCCCGAUGACACCAUGGAUGAGGAGAUGCUGAUUCUAGAAGUCUAGAAGUAGAUUUCCUCCUCCUGAAGGACACAAUCUACUGCUUAUAUGGUUAGCCUGGUGGCUAAAGACAAUGAUAUCAUGCGAUUACACGUGAAUCCGCGGGUUCUUGGGAGUUCUCACGAUUCUUGCUGUCCGUAAUCUGCCAAGAAAUUCUCAAGUCAUUUCUGCAGGAGCAGCGACACAAACUAGUUUGUAAACAUCUUUACUUUGAGCGCGACAGUUAGCACUUUAACUUUGGUGCUAAUGGGGAUUUCGUAGCUUUGAGAACUAGCCUCUAGUGGACACUUGAGGAACUGCAGUUUAAUUUAGCAACACAGAAGGUCGCAAUGCCAUCAUGCAUUAUGUUCACUUCCAGUUUGCAAAAGCUGUGAACUCUGUUAGACUAUAUUUGUUUCUACCUCUCUCCUUUAUGAACUCCUGAGGGCGAGGUGCGAGUCUCAGAGGACAGGACAUGAUAUUUAAGAGCUCGCUAUGGGAGCAACAGAGACCUGCACUCUGAGGACAUUUGCUGCAGUAAUUUUAGUGUUAAAUAUUUAGGCUUUUCUGUUUGGAGAUGUUUCUUUUUUUUUAGAUAUUUUAUACAGUUUGUGUUGCUCUUUUGGUUGCAUGAUAUAAAAAUGAUCAUCUCUGUCCAUUUGCAGUAAAAUUUCCUGCAUAUUUCACAUAUUUUCUCUCUCACUUGGACUUUAAACCACAAAGUUUAAAGUUCGCCCGACUUUCAGGGAGUUUUUAGGGGGUUUGUGCACAUUAUUCAAGAUGUAAACAGUUUCCUCUACCUGACUCUUUGCUUCCUCUUGCAGGGACAUCAGUGAUCCCAGAGAAACAGUUCCAGAUAUCAUCUCUUUGUGCAGCAGCGUGGCGUGCGUGCCCCACAUACAGAGUCCGGUCUCCUCGUUACCCGUCGGGCUCAGCCUCCUGCAGAGUAUCCGAGGGAGUGACGGCACUCGUGAAACUCUAUCUGUCUGUUUCAUCAUGUGGACGUGGCUCUGCGGUUGCCCAGUCAUCCGAAGAACCCCACUACUUUCUUUG